ACCCAGGGAAAAGUUAUUAGAAAGUACACUGACCCGCUGAGCCGUCAAGAAAGGGCAGAGUGAAAACACCGCUUUUGGGUGAAGCGGCAGCAUGUUGUGUUGUUUGGCUUCAAUCGGUGGUGUGACAAGG